AGGGUUUGAUCAUGGCUCAGGAUGAACGCUAGCGGCAGGCUUAACACAUGCAAGUCGAGGGGUAUAGUAGCAAUACUAGAGACCGGCGCACGGGUGCGUAACGCGUAUGCAAUCUACCUUUUGCAGAGGGAUAGCCCAGAGAAAUUUGGAUUAAUACCUCAUAGUAUAUAGAGUUGGCAUCAACAUUAUAUUAAAGUCACAACGGCAAAAGAUGAGCAUGCGUCCCAUUAGCUAGUUGGUAAGGUAACGGCUUACCAAGGCAACGAUGGGUAGGGGUCCUGAGAGGGAGAUCCCCCACACUGGUACUGAGACACGGACCAGACUCCUACGGGAGGCAGCAGUGAGGAAUAUUGGACAAUGGGCGCAAGCCUGAUCCAGCCAUGCCGCGUGCAGGAUGACGGUCCUAUGGAUUGUAAACUGCUUUUAUACGAGAAGAAACAUCCCGACGUGUCGGGACUUGACGGUAUCGUAAGAAUAAGGAUCGGCUAACUCCGUGCCAGCAGCCGCGGUAAUACGGAGGAUCCAAGCGUUAUCCGGAAUCCUUGGGUUUAAAGGGUCC
rnacentral:rRNA from 1 species